CCUGUUCGAGCGUCAUAAUGACCAAAUCACCUCACGGUGGACUUGGAGCUGGCCUUUACUGGCCUCUCUUAAAAACAGUGGCGGUGCUUGUAAGCUCUACGCGUAGUAAUUUUCUCGCGACAGGGUCUUGCAAGUUCUUGCCAAGAACCCAACUUAUUAAGGUUGACCUCGGAUCAGGUAGGGAUACCCGCUGAACUUAA
rnacentral:misc_RNA from 1 species